AACGAACGCUGGCGGCAUGCCUGACACAUGCAAGUCGAACGAGACCUUCGGGUCUAGUGGCGCACGGGUGCGUAACGCGUGGGAACCUGCCCUUAGGUUCGGAAUAACUCCCCGAAAGGGGUGCUAAUACCGGAUAAUGUCUUCGGACCAAAGAUUUCUCGCCUUUGGAUGGGCCCGCGUUGGAUUAGCUAGUUGGUAGGGUAAAAGCCUACCAAGGCGACGAUCCAUAGCUGGUCUGAGAGGAUGAUCAGCCACACUGGGACUGAGACACGGCCCAGACUCCUACGGGAGGCAGCAGUGGGGAAUAUUGGACAAUGGGCGAAAGCCUGAUCCAGCAAUGCCGCGUGAGUGAUGAAGGCCUUAGGGUUGUAAAGCUCUUUUACCCGGGAUGAUAGUGACAGUACCGGGAGAAUAAGCUCCGGCUAACUCCGUG
rnacentral:rRNA from 1 species